rnacentral:rRNA from 1 species
UACGAAGGGGGCUAGCGUUGCUCGGAAUCACUGGGCGUAAAGGGUGCGUAGGCGGGUCUUUAAGUCAGGGGUGAAAUCCUGGAGCUCAACUCCAGAACUGCCUUUGAUACUGAAGAUCUUGAGUUCGGGAGAGGUGAGUGGAACUGCGAGUGUAGAGGUGAAAUUCUUAGAUAUCGUCAAGAACACCAAUAGUGAAGACAGCUCACUAGGCUCAAACUGACGCUGAGGCACGAAAGUGUGGGGAUCAAACAGG